rnacentral:rRNA from 1 species
CGGCGAACCGGGUGAGUAACGCGUGAGCAAUCUACCUUAGUUACUGGGAUAGCCCGAGGAAACUCGGAUUAAUACCGGAUAUUCUUAUUUUUCACAUGAAGUUUUAAGGAAAGGUCAGCCGAACUAAGAUGAGCUCGCGUUCUAUCAGCUAGUUGGUGGGGUAAAAGCCUACCAAGGCAACGACGGAUAGCUGGUCUGAGAGGACGAUCAGCCACACUGGGACUGAGACACGGCCCAGACUCCUACGGGAGGCUGCAGCAGGGAAUAUUGUGCAAUGAGCGAAAGCUUGACACAGCGACACCGCGUGUGGGAUGACGGUUCUAGGAUUGUAAACCACUUUCAGGAGGGAAGAAAAUGACGGUACCUCCACAAGAAGACCCGGCCAACUAUGUG